rnacentral:rRNA from 1 species
AGUGAACGCUGGCGGCGUGCUUAACACAUGCAAGUCGAACGAGAACGGAUUAUAGCUUGCUAUAAUUGUCAGCUAAGUGGCGCACGGGUGAGUAAUGUAUAGGUAAUAUGCCUUUUACUAAGGAAUAACAAAUGGAAACGUUUGCUAAUACCUUAUACUCCUUAUUAACCUAAGUUAAUAAGGGAAAGAUUUAUUGGUAAGAGAUUAGCCUGUAUUGUAUCAGUUAGUUGGUGGGGUAAUGGCUUACCAAGACUAUGACACAUAACUGGUUUGGGAGGAUGAUCAGUCACACUGGAACUGAGACACGGUCCAGACUCCUACGUGAGGCAGCAGUGGGGAAUAUUGCACAAUGGACGGAAGUCUGAUGCAGCAACGCCGCGUGGAGGAUGACACAUUUCGGUGCGUAAACUCCUUUUAUAUGAGAAGAUAAUGACGGUAUUAUAUGAAUAAGCACCGGCUAACUCCGUGCCAGCCGCCGCGGUAA